rnacentral:sRNA from 1 species
CAUCUCUACUAAAAAAAGAAAAAAAAUAUUAGCCGGGUAUGGUGGUGCAUGCCUGUAGUCCCAGCUACUCAGGAGUCUGAGGCAGGAGAAUCGCUUGAACCCAGGAGGCGGAGGUUGCAGUGAGUCGAGGUCAGGCCACUGCACUCCAGCCUGGGUGACAAGAGCGAAACUCUGUCUCAAAAAAAAGACUAUUUGGAGUAGCUAUGUGCAUGUAGUGGAGUGCUUGGCAGACGCUAGUUACUCUUAACGGCCGUCAUUGUUGUAGGUGAGCCGGCUGCAUUCUUAGAUUCCUUCCAGUUCAGAGUCCCUGGUGUUCUGUGAGUAGAGACACUAGACUGUAGACCCCAGGAGCUUGGCUGCUGGUCUCUGGGCACCCAGCUGCCCUGAUGUGGCGUGGCAGAGUAGGUGUGGGGAGAGAGGGCUGAGCUUUGGGGACAGAUUCACCACACUGGGUGAGAUGUAGCCCCAGCCUCCCCCAGGGCCUGUCCCUGCUGCAGCCUGGUACCUUCUUUCCUGCAGGAGCAGAUCAAUAUCACCCUGGACCACCGCUGCCGUAUCUUCCAGAACCUGGAUGGAGCCUUGGAUGAGGUCGUGCUCAAGUUUGAAAUGGGCCACGUGAGAGCGAGGAACCUGGCCUAUGACACCCUCCCGGUCCUGAUCCAUGGCAACGGGCCAACCAAGCUGCAGUUGAACUACUUGGGCAACUACAUCCCGCGCUUCUGGACCUUCGAGACAGGCUGCACCGUGUGUGACGAAGGCUUGCGAAGCCUCAAGGGCAUUGGGGAUGAAGCUCUGCCCACGGUCCUGGUUGGCGUGUUCAUCGAACAGCCCACGCCGUUCGUGUCCCUGUUCUUCCAGCGG